rnacentral:tRNA from 1 species
GCACCCAUGGCGGAAUUGGCAGACGCGCAUGGUUCAGGUCCAUGUGAGAGCAAUCUCGUGGAGGUUCAAGUCCUCUUGGGUGCACCA